rnacentral:misc_RNA from 1 species
UUAAAUGAUAGCCAGUUUCUCCCUACCUCGGUAGGGAUUGAGCAGGCAUUAACCCUUUGUGAACUGUCAUCUUAUAUUGGUGCUGUCCCUUAGGGAGACGGCGCUCAUUAUAAACCCCUAUAUGUUUAACUGAUAAAGAGUAAGAGAAA